GGGAGACUCUGGCCACUGCCUCUCAGAAAACUACCAGGACUAUCCAUACCGCCUCCUCUCCCAGCCUCCUCUCCCUGAAUCCAACAUAGGUUUUAAGGUUCUCAGAUCCAGAAAUACCCUUAGCCAUCAUUUGGUUCAGUCUUUACAUCGUACAGAUGAGGAAAUGGAGGCCCAGAGAGGGAAAGCAAUCUGUUCAAGGUCACACAGCUUGUGAAUGCCAGAACCAGGAUUAUAACCCAGGAUACUUGGUUCUAAAACCAAUGCUCUGUCCACUGCCCUCCAGCUCAGGUAUGACCAGGGCCUCUUCAUUCAAUCAUGGCCCAGCAGCUCCUACUUGGGAGCAACUCAGCUAAGAGGUGGCCUGGGACCCUGGCUGGAGGCACAGAAUCCACCUAAGGAAGCCAGGUGGCUGGACAUAAAAAUUAAUUGUUAGUGUAAAUAUUUUAGGGCAGCAGGAAAACCAAGAGAUCAGAGGCAAACCCUGGGCCACCUCAGUUCCUCUGUUUUCCUCCCAGAAUCACCAAGGAGGUCAGAAACUGGCUGAAGCUGUCUUCCAG
rnacentral:lncRNA from 10 species